ACACUGACGUCGCGACGCAUAUCAAUAAGCGGAGGAAAAGAAACUAACAUAGGAUUCCCUCAGUAACGGCGAGUGAAGCGGGAAGAGCUCAAAUUUGAAAUCUUCAAGGUUCUACCUUGACGAAUUGUAGUUUAAAGAAGUGUUUUCUGUUAGGGAGUUUGGUAAAAGUUCUUUGGAAUAGGACAUCAUAGAGGGUGAGAAUCCCGUAUUUGACCAUUAUUUCUAGCUGUGUGAUACACUUUCAAAGAGUCGGAUUGUUUGGGAAUGCAGUCCAAAAUGAGUGGUAAAUUUCAUCUAAAGCUAAAUAUUGGCGAGAGACCGAUAGCGAACAAGUACCGUGAGGGAAAGAUGAAAAGAACUUUGAAAAGAGAGUUAAACAGUACGUGAAAUUGUCAAAAGGGAAGCGUUUGACACCAGUGUUGUUUUUCUCGAAAAUCAAUUAUAAAAUGUUUUGUUUCUGAUGAGUGAUGACCUUCAUCGGCUUCCUUCUCUCUUUCACUGAUAACUUUUUGUAAUGCACUUUUCGGUUAACAAGUCAACAUCAGUUUCUUUUGUUGUAAAAGGAGUCAUUCGGAAGGUGGCUUUCUUUCGGAGAAAGUGUUUAUAGCCCUAUACUUCUAGCAAUCGGAGAGAUUGAGGUCUGCAGCGUAGAUCCUUCGGGGUUAGAUACACUUGUGCUAAGUUAUAGCUUUUCAUAGACAACUUGUUGACUAUGUUUAGUCUUGUAGACUUACUCGCUUAUGCUAUUUUACCUACGCUUAGGAUGUUGAGUCGUAGAGCACGCAG
rnacentral:rRNA from 1 species